UUUUCCGGAUUUCAAAAUCACCCAUGUACCACGAAUGCGUAAUCAGCUUCCUGGUUUUUUUAGCUAAGACUGCUAGGAGCUUUGGUAUGGAGUUACUUUUCAUUGGUUGUUGUAUUCCGGUCUGGUUACCCAGACUACCUCAAGCUUGAGUAAUAGAAUGGCCGUUCGAUGUCAAAAAAAAAAAAAAAUUGAAGAGCAUAAAUUUACCUUUUAAAAUUUUCGAUUACUGCAGUGAAUAGGAUGACAUCUACUUUCUGCAUCUUUUAAGAAAUAUUUUCAUUCCUUUUGUUAUUUGGAUAGGGUCAAGGACUCAAGGCCAUUUGAUCCCAUCUUAGGAAUAUUCUCUGCAGCUGAUACCAUUUACAAAGCAAGAUGCCGAUUGUUUUGGGGAAAAGAAAAUCUUUUUCGUAGUUUAUGUUUGCUAUUACCUCUAAAGUGGUGAUGUGUGCAUCAUCGGAAACAAUUGCCAUCCAAAGAGAAACUCCAAGGGCCAUCAUUGAUCUUUGUUUAUAAUCAUUUUUCUUACCCAUUUUGGCUCUCAUUUAAAUCGAGUUUGAAAGUAUAUCUUUAUUAUUGAUAGUUAUUAAUCCACUAAGUGAUUUAAAUAAAUUCCACACUAGACGACAUAGACGAAGUAACUUACCCGUACUGAUGUUUUUGA
rnacentral:lncRNA from 1 species